rnacentral:misc_RNA from 1 species
UCUCCGUUGGUGAACCAGCGGAGGGAUCAUUACCGAGUUAGUCUACUCCCAAACCCCUGUGAGCUUCCACCUUUACUGAUGCUUCGGCGGUUGAACGGCCCGCAAGGCGCGCGAUUGCCGACGGAACAAGGCGCCCGCCGGGCGGCCCACACUCUUGUAUCCUUUUUAUGGUAUGUCUUUGUGGAAUGAUAAACAAAUGAAAUAAAACUUUCAACAACGGAUCUCUUGGUUCUG